rnacentral:rRNA from 1 species
GAUGAACGCUGGCGGCGUGCCUAAUACAUGCAAGUCGAGCGAACGGACGAGAAGCUUGCUUCUCUGAUGUUAGCGGCGGACGGGUGAGUAACACGUGGAUAACCUACCUAUAAGACUGGGAUAACUUCGGGAAACCGGAGCUAUUACCGGAUAAUAUUUUGAACCGCAUGGUUCAAAAGUGAAAGACGGUCUUGCUGUCACUUAUAGAUGGAUCCGCGCUGCAUUAGCUAGUUGGUAAGGUAACGGCUUACCAAGGCAACCAUGCAUAGCCGACCUGAGAGGGUGAUCGGCCACACUGGAACUGAGACACGGUCCAGACUCCUACGGGAGGCAGCAGUAGGGAAUCUUCCGCAAUGGGCGAAAGCCUGACGGAGCAACGCCGCGUGAGUGAUGAAGGUCUUCGGAUCGUAAAACUCUGUUAUUAGGGAAGAACAUAUGUGUAAGUAACUGUGCACAUCUUGACGGUACCUAAUCAGAAAGCCACGGCUAACUACGUG